GGUGAGUAACACGUGGGCAACCUGCCCUGUAGUUGGGGAUAACUCCGGGAAAACGGGGCUAAUACCGAAUGAUACAAUUUAACUCCUGUUAGAUUGUUGAAAGAUGGUUCUGCUAUCGCUACAGGAUGGGGCCGCGGCGCAUUAGCUAGUAGGUGAGGUAACGGCUCACCUAGGCGACGAUGCGUAGCCGACCUGAGAGGGUGAUCGGCCACACUGGGACUGAGACACGGCCCAGACUCCUACGGGAGGCAGCAGUAGGGAAUCUUCCACAAUGGGGGAAAGCCUGAUGGAGCAACGCCGCGUGAGUGAAGAAGGUUUUUGGAUCGUAAAACUCUGUUGUAAGGGAAGAACAAGUACAGUAGUAACUGGCUGUACCUUGACGGUACCUUAUUAGAAAGCCACGGCUAACUACGUGCCACCAGCCGCGGUAAUACGUAGGUGGCAAGCGUUGUCCGGAAUUAUUGGGCGUAAAGCGCGCGCAGGCGGUCCUUUUAGUCUGAUG
rnacentral:rRNA from 2 species